rnacentral:rRNA from 1 species
GGGUCUACCCAUUGGUCAGGCUUAAUUGUCUGCACUGGUGAGAUGGAUCUCUACCUUCUGAGGAACUUUCAUGCCAUUAAUUUGGUGUGAUUGGAAAUCAGGACUGUUACUUUGAAAAAAUUAGAGUGUUUAAAGCAGGCUAACGUCUGAAUACAUUAGUAUGGAAUAAUGAAAUAGGACGUUCGAUCCUAUUUUGUUGGUUUCUAGGAUUGACGUA